UACGGGGGGAGCAAGCGUUGUUCGGAUUUACUGGGCGUAAAGGGCGCGUAGGCGGUCAGCACAAGUCAGUUGUGAAAUCUACCCGGGCUUAACUCGGGAAAGGUCAACUGAUACUGUGCGACUAGAGUGCAGAAGGGGCAACUGGAAUUCUCGGUGUAGCGGUGAAAUGCGUAGAUAUCGAGAGGAACACCUGCGGCGAAGGCGGGUUGCUGGGCUGACACUGACGCUGAUGACGCGAAAGCCAGGGGAGCGAACGGG
rnacentral:rRNA from 1 species